AAAUAAAUACGUUUGCUACAAAAUUCCCGAUUCGAGUAACUCGACCUUUUUAAAACAAGCAUACAUUUAUAGUCUCAAUUGUGAUUUAAGUACAUGCAUAUUAAAAUUGCUUUUUUGGCUGUUUUGCAAUCUCCACGUUCAUACAAACGGACACACAUACG
rnacentral:sRNA from 1 species